rnacentral:rRNA from 1 species
GAUGAACGCUGGCGGCGUGCUUAACACAUGCAAGUCGAACGAGAAGUGAAGACGGAAACCUUCGGGCGGAAGGCUUUAUUUCGAGUGGCGGACGGGUGAGUAACGCGUGGGUAACCUGCCUCAUACAGGGGGAUAACAGUUGGAAACGACUGUUAAUACCGCAUAAGACCACAGCACCGCAUGGUGCGGGGGUAAAAACUCCGGUGGUAUGAGAUGGACCCGCGUUCGAUUAGCCAGUUGGCGGGGUAACGGCCCACCAAAGCGACGAUCGAUAGCCGAUCGGGGAGGAUGACCGGCCACAUUGGGACUGAGACACGGCCCAAACUCCGACGGGAGGCAGCAGUGGGGAAUAUUGCACAAUGGGGGAAACCCUGAUGCAGCGACGCCGCGUGAGUGAAGAAGUAUUUCGGUAUGUAAAGCUCUAUCAGCAGGGAAGAAAAUGACGGUACCUGAGUAAGAAGCCCCGGCUAACUACGUG